rnacentral:lncRNA from 1 species
CUCUUCCACACUUACCUCUGCCUGUAAACACCUAGGCUGCAUAUUUUAACCUUUCCUUCCUCUGCUGCUGUAUGUCCAGCUUUGCCAGACUUCCAAAUACAGAUGGUGUAACUGACCCAAGGACUUUAUCUGAUGUGCUCUGAAAUUCACGGCUGCAGUACACAGAGGCAAACCUCUUAUGGACGGCUCCCAGCCAACAGCUCAGUGCAGCAAGGAUGCUAAGGCAGGCCCAUUGCUGGGAGAUGCAGGACUUCUCUAAUGAACUCUGCCUCGAGACUCCCCAGUAGCCUCACAAAAACUUCCAAGAAUGGCACAGCAUAUGAGGAGGCUCCCAAUCUCUCUUUCACCCAGGUCAUCAUAUAUUGAGUCUCCUUAGCUCCCUCACAGACCAGCAGGUGUGGCUGAGGCCCUGGCAAGUAGUGACCAAAUGUCAAAGGAACUUUCAAGCCCUGCAGACAGGCCCACUCAGAUUUAAGCCAGGAAGGGGAUAACUCACUACAGCAGUACUGCAGUUCAGCGGGACAGGAAGGCAGAAGAACAUGUCAUCCAGCAAAACCAGGUCGAAGAGCUCAUUCAGUAGAGCCCAACCACCAACCACUCCCACCCCACCUCUUAUUCCCAAGAUGUGAAAGGGCAAAGGUGUGCUUGAUCCUGAUGGGAUUCCCUAGGUUCUUUCCCCCAUUUGCCUCUCAUUUCUGCCUUCCACCUCCUGUGUUCGUUCAGCUCCAAUAAUCAAAACAUGGGUCUGUCUUUAUACCCACUGCCUAGUAUUCAGAUCACUUCGGUUCUUUCCCUUUUAAGGAAUUCCAAAAUUUUAAGAACAUUUGCUAACUUUAUAUUAAUGGCACAGUUUUUAUGACACUGGUUUGCAGGCCAAAAAACAGCCCAAAGUGCUGAGGGAUAGACCCCUUUGCAAGUCCAUGGUGACUGCCUCCCUAGUAGGGGCUGAGGUCAGGAGCUGUGGGGUCAGUCAAGGCUCCUCCGACUUUCUGACUUCACCACUUUGGCUCAGGGAGCAAAACACAUGUUGUCCAUUAAUGGCGUUUUUAAAAUCUGGUCCAACUGGUGAUUUAUUUAGUGAAAUAUCCUCCAAUUUUUGGUAUAUGUUGACUAUUAUCUUUAGUUUCCAAUACUGAUGCAGGCUUUUCCCUAUUUGAUUUCAUGAGUGUUUUAAUGAAAACUGG